UACGUAGGGUGCGAGCGUUGUCCGGAAUUAUUGGGCGUAAAGAGCUCGUAGGCGGCCUGUUGCGUCGGUUGUGAAAGCCCGGGGCUUAACCCCGGGUCUGCAGUCGAUACGGGCAGGCUAGAGUGUGGUAGGGGAGACUGGAAUUCCUGGUGUAGCGGUGAAAUGCGCAGAUAUCAGGAGGAACACCGAUGGCGAAGGCAGGUCUCUGGGCCACUACUGACGCUGAGAAGCGAAAGCAUGGGGAGCGAACAGG
rnacentral:rRNA from 1 species